GUAGGGAAUAUUGGACAAUGGGGGCAACCCUGAUCCAGCGACGCCGCGUGAGUGAUGAAGGCCUUCGGGUCGUAAAGCUCUGUUGCAGGGGAAGAACACAAUGACGGUACCCUGCUAGAAAGGAUCGGCUAACUUCGUGCCAGCAGCCGCGGUAAGACGAGGGAUCCUAGCGUUGUUCGGAAUCAUGGGGCGUAAAGCGGGUGCAGGUGGCUUGGUAAGUCAGAUGUGAAAGCCUGGGGCUUAACCCCAGAAGUGCAUUUGAUACUGCUGAGCUUGAGUGCUGGAGAGGCUAUUAGAAUUGCUUGUGUAGUGGUGAAAUACGUAGAGAUCAGGAGGAAUACCGGAGGCGAAGGCGGAUAGCUCGCCAGACACUGACACUCAGACCCGAAAGCGUGGGGAUCAAACAGGAUUAGAAACCCCAGUAGUCC
rnacentral:rRNA from 1 species